GCGAACGGGUGAGUAACACGUGGGCAAUCUGCCCUUCACUCUGGGACAAGCCCUGGAAACGGGGUCUAAUACCGGAUAACACUUCUGCUCUCAUGGGCAGGGGUUAAAAGCUCCGGCGGUGAAGGAUGAGCCCGCGGCCUAUCAGCUUGUUGGUGAGGUAAUGGCUCACCAAGGCGACGACGGGUAGCCGGCCUGAGAGGGCGACCGGCCACACUGGGACUGAGACACGGCCCAGACUCCUACGGGAGGCAGCAGUGGGGAAUAUUGCACAAUGGGCGAAAGCCUGAUGCAGCGACGCCGCGUGAGGGAUGACGGCCUUCGGGUUGUAAACCUCUUUCAGCAGGGAAGAAGCGAAAGUGACGGUACCUGCAGAAGAAGCGCCGGCUAACUACGUGCCAGCAGCCGCGGUAAUACGUAGGGCGCAAGCGUUGUCCGGAAUUAUUGGGCGUAAAGAGCUCGUAGGCGGCUUGUCACGUCGGGUGUGAAAGCCCGGGGCUUAACCCCGGGUCUGCAUUCGAUACGGGCUAGCUAGAGUGUGGUAGGGGAGAUCGGAAUUCCUGGUGUAGCGGUGAAAUGCGCAGAUAUCAGGAGGAACACCGGUGGCGAAGGCGGAUCUCUGGGCCAUUACUGACGCUGAGGAGCGAAAGCGUGGGGAGCGAACAGGAUUAGAUACCCUGGUAGUCCA
rnacentral:rRNA from 1 species